rnacentral:rRNA from 1 species
AGCGGUGGAGCAUGUGGUUUAUUCGAUGCAACGCGAAGAACCUUACCUACUCUUGACAUCCAGCGAAUCCUUUAGAGAUAGAGGAGUGCCUUCGGGAACGCUGAGACAGGUGCUGCAUGGCUGUCGUCAGCUCGUGUUGUGAAAUGUUGGGUUAAGUCCCGCAACGAGCGCAACCCUUAUCCUUUGUUGCCAGCACGUAAUGGUGGGAACUCAAAGGAAACUGCCGGUGAUAAACCGGAGGAAGGUGGGGAUGACGUCAAGUCAUCAUGGCCCUUACGAGUAGGGCUACACACGUGCUACAAUGGCAAAUACAAAAAGAAACGACCUCCCGAGAGCAAGCGGAACUCAUAAAGUCUGUCUUAUUCCGGAUUGGAGUCUGCGACUC